CAAUAGCGUAUAUUAAAGUUGUUGCAGUUAAAAAGCUCGUAGUUGGAUUUGUGGCGUACGGUGUGUUCCGGGCACUUGUUGUCUGAGUAACCUGCUGUUGCCAUCCUUGGGUGGAACCUGUGUGGCAUUAGGUUGUCGUGCAGGGGAUGCCCAUCAUUUACUGUGAAAAAAUUAGAGUGUUCAAAGCAGGCUUAUGCCGUUGAAUAUAUUAGCAUGGAAUAAUGAGAUAGGACUUUUUUGCUAUUUUGUUGGUUUGCGCAAGAAGGUAAUGAUUAAUAGGGACAGUUGGGGGUAUUCGUAUUCCAUUGUCAGAGGUGUAAUUCUUGGAUUUUUGGAAGACGAACUACUGCGAAAGCAUUUACCAAGGAUGUUUUCAUUAA
rnacentral:rRNA from 1 species